GACGAACGCUGGCGGCGUGCUUAACACAUGCAAGUCGAACGGGGCAAAGUGAUAGCUUGCUAUUAUGGAGCCUAGUGGCAAACGGGUGAGUAACGCGUGAGGAACCUGCCUUUCAGAGGGGGACAACAGCUGGAAACGGCUGCUAAUACCGCAUGACAUAUAUUAAGGGCAUCCUUGAUAUAUCAAAGAUUUUAUCGCUGAAAGAUGGCCUCGCGUCCGAUUAGAUAGUUGGCGGGGUAACGGCCCACCAAGUCGACGAUCGGUAGCCGGACUGAGAGGUUGACCGGCCACAUUGGGACUGAGAUACGGCCCAGACUCCUACGGGAGGCAGCAGUAGGGAAUAUUGCACAAUGGAGGAAACUCUGAUGCAGCCAUGCCGCGUGUGUGAAGAAGGCCUUC
rnacentral:rRNA from 1 species